rnacentral:rRNA from 1 species
UUUUCGCAAUGCCCGAAAGGGUGACGAAGCGACGCCGCGUGAGUGAGGAAGGCCUUCGGGUUGUAAAGCUCUGUCAGGAGUUAAGAAAUAUAAGUAUGCUAAUACCAUAUUUAUUUGACGAAGGCUCCAAAGGAAGCCACGGCUAACUCUGUGCCAGCAGCCGCGGUAAUACAGAGGUGGCAAGCGUUGUUCGGAAUUAUUGGGCGUAAAGAGCACGUAGGUGGGUUUGUAAGUCAGAUGUGAAAGCCUUCUGUUCAACGGAAGAAUUGCAUCUGAAACUGCGAGUCUUGAGUGUAGGAGGGGAGAAUGGAACUUCUGGUGGAGCGGUGAAAUGCGUAGAUAUCAGAAGGAACACCGGCGGCGAAAGCGAUUCUCUGGCCUAUUACUGACACUCAGUGUGCGAAAGCUAGGGGAGCAAACGGGAUUAGAUACCCCGGUAGUCCUAGCCGUAAACGAUGGGCACUAAGUAGAGGGAAUUACCGAUGUUCUCUCUGCCGUAGCUAACGCAUUAAGUGCCCCGCCUGGGGAGUACGGCCGCAAGGCUAAAACUCAAAAGAAUUGACGGGGGCUCGCACAAGCGGUGGAGCAUGUGGCUUAAUUCGAUGCAACGCGAAGAACCUUACCGGGGCUUGACAUGGUAGAAGUAGAAACCCGAAAGGGUAACGAACGGUAUCCAGUCCGUAACUAUCACAGGUGUUGCAUGGCUGUCGUCAGCUCGUGUCGUGAGACGUUGGGUUAAGUCCCCUAACGAGCGAAACCCUUGUUUUUAGUUACCAGCGGGUUAUGCCGGGUACUCUAGAAAGACUGCCGUCGUCAAGACGGAGGAAGGUGGGGAUGACGUCAGGUCAUCAUGGCCCUUAUGCCCCGGGGCUGCACACGUGCUACAAUGGUCGGUACAAACGGAAGC